GACUCGGUGGCGGAAGGUCCGCGUCUGCGCAGUGUAAAUGCUGAAAGCGGUUUACCAGCAGAAGGUGUCGGUUCGAUUCCGGCUCGAGUCA